ACGAUUAAUAAAGCGCCAGGACUAAACGGAAGAGAGCCGUUUAGUUGACGAGGUGGAGGUUCAAUCGAGUGUUCGGCGGAUGCCUCCCGGUUCGUAAAGUCGCGGAGCCGUAAGAUUCUUUCUUAAAACAUCGAGGCAACUUGAUGCACAAAGGGAAGAUAAGCAGUGACU
rnacentral:ncRNA from 2 species